GUCCAGGAUAGCCUAGUGGACAUGGCAUCUACCCGGUAAGCGGAACGUUGUGGGUUCGAUUCCCGCCCCUGGACA
rnacentral:tRNA from 1 species